rnacentral:rRNA from 1 species
AUCUUUGAACGCACAUUGCGCCUGAUAGUAUUCUGUCAGGCAUGCCUGUUCGAGCGUCAUUUCAACCCCCAAGCCCUAUUUGCUUGACGUUGGGAGUUUACGGAGACGUAAUUCCUCAAAUAUAGUGGCGGAGCUAGGUCGUGCUCUAAGCGUAGUAACCACAAUUCUCGCUUCUGCAGCCGGCUUAGGUCCUGCCGUAAAACCCCUAUAUUUUUUUAUUGGUUGACCUCGGAUCAGGUAGGAAUACCCGCUGAACUUAAGCAUAUCAAUAAGCGGAGGAAAAGAAACCAACAGGGAUUGCCCUAGUAACGGCGAGUGAAGCGGCAACAGCUCAAAUUUGAAAUCUGGCCCUCGGGUCCGAGUUGUAAUUUGCAGAGGAUGCUUUUGGCGCGGUGCCUUCCGAGUUCCCUGGAACGGGACGCCUUAGAGGGUGAGAGCCCCGUACGGUUGGACACCAAGCCUCUGUAAAGCUCCUUCGACGAGUCGAGUAGUUUGGGAAUGCUGCUCUAAAUGGGAGGUAAAUUUCUUCUAAAGCUAAAUACCGGCCAGAGACCGAUAGCGCACAAGUAGAGUGAUCGAAAGAUGAAAAGCACUUUGAAAAGAGGGUUAAAUAGCACGUGAAAUUGUUGAAAGGGAAGCGUUUACGGCCAGACCUUUUCCUGGCGGAUCAUCUGGUGUUCUCACCAGUGCACUCCGCCAGGUUUAGGCCAGCAUCGGCUCCCGUAGGGGGAUAAAAGCAGUGGGAAAGUAGCUCCCUCGGGAGUGUUAUAGCCCGCUGCACAAUACCCUUACAGGGGCCGAGGACCGCGCUCU